rnacentral:rRNA from 1 species
GCAGUAGGAUAGGCGAAGCGUGCGAUUGGAUUGCACGUCUAAGCAGUAAGGCUGAGUAUUAGGCAAAUCCGGUACUCAUUAAGGCUGAGCUGUGAUGGGGAGAAGACAUUGUGUCUUCGAGUCGUUGAUUUCACACUGCCGAGAAAAGCCUCUAGAUAGAAAAUAGGUGCCCGUACCGCAAACCGACACAGGUAGUCAAGAUGAGAAUUCUAAGGUGAGCGAGCGAACUCUCGUUAAGGAACUCGGCAAAAUGACCCCGUAACUUCGGGAGAAGGGGUGCUCUUUAGGGUUAACGCCCAGAAGAGCCGCAGUGAAUAGGCCCAAGCGACUGUUUAUCAAAAACACAGGUCUCUGCUAAACCGUAAGGUGAUGUAUAGGGGCUGACGCCUGCCCGGUGCUGGAAGGUUAAGAGGAGUGGUUAGCUUCUGCGAAGCUACGAAUCGAAGCCCCAGUAAACGGCGGCCGUAACUAUAACGGUCCUAAGGUAGCGAAAUUCCUUGUCGGGUAAGUUCCGACCCGCACGAAAGGCGUAACGAUUUGGGCACUGUCUCAACGAGAGACUCGGUGAAAUCAUAGUACCUGUGAAGAUGCAGGUUACCCGCGACAGGACGGAAAGACCCCGUGGAGCUUUACUGUAGCCUGAUAUUGAAAUUCGGCACAGCUUGUACAGGAUAGGUAGGAGCCUUUGAAACGUGAGCGCUAGCUUACGUGGAGGCGCUGGUGGGAUACUACCCUA